UUUAAAUGCAACUGUAAGUUUUCGCACAUAAUUUUGAUCGUUUGUCUUAUUUGAAAUUCUUUUUAUAAUUAAUAUUUUUGUUGUUUAUGAGAUGAUAAAACAUGAAUAGUACUUUACUCGUGACUUAUGGUAUUUUUUUCAAUUUUUUUUAAAUAAGACGUACGAUUAAAGUUGGACGCGGAAAACCAUAGAUGCACUUAAA
rfam:Oryza nivara chromosome 11, whole genome shotgun sequence.